UGGGGANNUNNUNNUNANNAUGGGCGCAAGCCUGAUCCAGCCAUGCCGCGUGUCUGAAGAAGGCCUUCGGGUUGUAAAGGACUUUUGUCAGGGAAGAAAAGGCUGUUGCUAAUAUCGACAGCUGAUGACGGUACCUGAAGAAUAAGCACCGGCUAACUACGUGCCAGCAGCCGCGGUAAUACGUAGGGUGCGAGCGUUAAUCGGAAUUACUGGGCGUAAAGCGAGCGCAGACGGUUACUUAAGCAGGAUGUGAAAUCCCCGGGCUCAACCUGGGAACUGCGUUCUGAACUGGGUGACUAGAGUGUGUCANAGGGAGGUAGAAUUCCACGUGUAGCAGUGAAAUGCGUAGAGAUGUGGAGGAAUACCGAUGGCGAAGGCNGCCUCCUGGGAUAACACUGACGUUCAUGCUCGAAAGCGUGGGUAGCAAACAGGAUUAGAUACCCUGGUAGUCCACGCCCUAAACGAUGUCAAUUAGCUGUUGGGCAACUUGAUUGCUUAGUAGCGUAGCUAACGCGUGAAAUUGANCCGCCUGGGGAGUACGGUCGCAAGAUU
rnacentral:rRNA from 1 species